rnacentral:rRNA from 1 species
GGCGUAAAGGGCGCGUAGGCGGAUUAUCAAGUCUCUUGUGAAAUCUAAUGGCUUAACCAUUAAACUGCUUGGGAAACUGAUAGUCUAGAGUGAGGGAGAGGCAGAUGGAAUUGGUGGUGUAGGGGUAAAAUCCGUAGAUAUCACCAAGAAUACCCAUUGCGAAGGCGAUCUGCUGGAACUCAACUGACGCUAAGGCGCGAAAGCGUGGGGAGCAAACAGGAUUAGAUACCCUGGUAGUCCACGCCCUAAACGAUGUACACUAGUUGUUGGGAUGCUAGUCAUCUCAGUAAUGCAGCUAACGCAUUAAGUGUACCGCCUGGGGAGUACGGUCGCAAGAUUAAAACUCAAAGGAAUAGACGGGGACCCGCACAAGCGGUGGAGCAUGUGGUUUAAUUCGAAGAUACGCGAAGAACCUUACCUGGGCUUGAUAUCCUAAGAACCUUUUAGAGAUAAGAGGGUGCUAGCUUGCUAGAACUUAGAGACAGGUGCUGCACGGCUGUCGUCAGCUCGUGUCGUGAGAUGUUGGGUUAAGUCCCGCAACGAGCGCAACCCACGUAUUUAGUUGCUAACGGUUCGGCCGAGCACUCUAAAUAGACUGCCUUCGUAAGGAGGAGGAAGGUGUGGACGACGUCAAGUCAUCAUGGCCCUUAUGCCCAGGGCGACACACGUGCUACAAUGGCAUAUACAAUGAGACGCAAUACCGCGAGGUGGAGCAAAUCUAUAAAAUAUGUCCCAGUUCGGAUUGUUCUCUGCAACUCGAGAGCAUGAAGCCGGAAUCGCUAGUAAUCGUAGAUCAGCCAUGCUACGGUGAAUACGUU